rnacentral:rRNA from 1 species
GACGAUGCAUAGCCGACCUGAGAGGGUGAUCGGCCACAUUGGGACUGAGACACGGCCCAAACUCCUACGGGAGGCAGCAGUAGGGAAUCUUCCACAAUGGACGAAAGUCUGAUGGAGCAACGCCGCGUGAGUGAUGAAGGUUUUCGGAUCGUAAAACUCUGUUGUAAGGGAAGAACAAGUACGUUAGGAAAUGAACGUACCUUGACGGUACCUUAUUAGAAAGCCACGGCUAACUACGUGCCAGCAGCCGCGGUAAUACGUAGGUGGCAAGCGUUGUCCGGAUUUAUUGGGCGUAAAGCGCGCGCAGGUGGUUUCUUAAGUCUGAUGUGAAAGCCCACGGCUCAACCGUGGAGGGUCAUUGGAAACUGGGGAACUUGAGUGCAGAAGAGGAUAGUGGAAUUCCAAGUGUAGCGGUGAAAUGCGUAGAGAUUUGGAGGAACACCAGUGGCGAAGGCGACUGUCUGGUCUGUAACUGACACUGAGGCGCGAAAGCGUGGGGAGCAAACAGGAUUAGAUACCCUGGUAGUCCACGCCGUAAACGAUGAGUGCUAAGUGUUAGGGGGUUUCCGCCCCUUAGUGCUGCAGCUAACGCAUUAAGCACUCCGCCUGGGGAGUACGAUCGCAAGAUUGAAACUCAAAGGAAUUGACGGGGGCCCGCACAAGCGGUGGAGCAUGUGGUUUAAUUCGAAGCAACGCGAAGAACCUUACCAGGUCUUGACAUCCCAGUGACCGCUCUAGAGAUAGAGUUUUCCCUUCGGGGACAUUGGUGACAGGUGGUGCAUGGUUGUCGUCAGCUCGUGUCGUGAGAUGUUGGGUUAAGUCCCGCAACGAGCGCAACCCUUAAUCUUAGUUGCCAUCAUUUAGUUGGGCACUCUAAGGUGACUGCCGGUGACAAACCGGAGGAAAGUGGGGAUGACGUCAAAUCAUCAUGGGGGGGGGGGACCAGGGCUACACAAGUGCUACAAUGAAAGGUACAGAGAGUCGCUAACUCCGGAGAGCACACUAAUCUGAUAAAAUCGUUCACUGUUCGGACUGUCGGCGGCCAUGGACUAGAGGAA